rnacentral:rRNA from 1 species
UAGGGAAUCUUCCACAAUGGACGCAAGUCUGAUGGAGCAACGCCGCGUGAGUGAAGAAGGCUUUCGGGUCGUAAAACUCUGUUAUUGAAGAAGAACGUGCGUGACAGUAACUGGUCAUGCAGUGACGGUAUUCAAUCAGAAAGUCACGGCUAACUACGUGCCAGCAGCCGCGGUAAUACGUAGGUGGCAAGCGUUGUCCGGAUUUAUUGGGCGUAAAGCGAGUGCAGGCGGUCUUUUAAGUCUGAUGUGAAAGCCUUCGGCUUAACCGAAGAAGGGCAUCGGAAACUGGGAGACUUGAGUGCAGAAGAGGAGAGUGGAACUCCAUGUGUAGCGGUGAAAUGCGUAGAUAUAUGGAAGAACACCAGUGGCGAAGGCGGCUCUCUGGUCUGUAACUGACGCUGAGGCUCGAAAGCGUGGGUAGCAAACAGGAUUAGAUACCCUGGUAGUCCACG